rnacentral:rRNA from 1 species
GACGAACGCUGGCGGCGUGCUUAACACAUGCAAGUCGAACGCUGAAGACCUGGCUUUUGUUGGGUUGGAUGAGUGGCGAACGGGUGAGUAACACGUGAGUAACCUGCCCUCUUCUUUGGGAUAACGCCCGGAAACGGGUGCUAAUACUGGAUAUUCACUGAUCUUCGCAUGGGGGUUGGUGGAAAGGUUUGUUCUGGUGGGGGAUGGGCUCGCGGCCUAUCAGCUUGUUGGUGGGGUGAUGGCCUACCAAGGCUUUGACGGGUAGCCGGCCUGGGAGGGUGACCGGUCACAUUGGGACUGAGAUACGGCCCAGACUCCUACGGGAGGCAGCAGUGGGGAAUAUUGCACAAUAGGCGAAAGCCUGAUGCAGCGACGCCGCGUGAGGGAUGGAGGCCUUCGAGUUGUAAACCUCUUUCGCUCAUGGUCAAGCCGCAACUGUGGGUUGUGGUGAGGGUAGUGGGUAAAGAAGCGCCGGCUAACUACGUG